CCUACGGGAGGCAGCAGUGGGGAAUAUUGCACAAUGGGCGCAAGCCUGAUGCAGCAACGCCGCGUGAGGGAUGACGGCCUUCGGGUUGUAAACCUCUUUUAGCAGGGAAGAAGCGAAAGUGACGGUACCUGCAGAAAAAGCGCCGGCUAACUACGUGCCAGCAGCCGCGGUAA
rnacentral:rRNA from 1 species